AGACAAAUGAUAUAUGCAAAGUAAAUCCCCAUGUGGGUGGGCAUCAUCCAAUCAGUCGAAGGCCUGACUAGAACAAAAAGGCUGAGUAAGAGGGAACUCCUCUGGCUGUCUGCUUGACCUGGGACAUUGGUCUUUUCCACUUCAGAUUCGAACUGAAACAUUAGUUUUCCUGGUUUUCAGACCUUUGGACUCAGACUGGAAGUACACAGCUCUCCAGCAGAUCUUGGGACUUCAUAGCCUCCAUUUCAAUCAUUUCGUGGGCUGUACAAUUUAGCCUUGGAAAUAGAGGAUGACAAGAAUACUGAUGCUUCAUAAUUGAAGGCCUGGCUGGAGUGUGUGGCCAGCCUUACCCAGGUUACCCCACCUGAACAUCCUCCUGGGAGGAAGCAGGGCGUGAAUCCGAGGGAAUUAGUGAAGUCAUUCCCUAGCCAUCCUCGAUGGCGGAGCGGUGGUGUGUCUCAGCAAAAAGGUUUGUCAUUGCAGGGGCUGGAGGGCUUAGACCUAGCAGAGGCCCAG
rnacentral:lncRNA from 1 species